rnacentral:rRNA from 1 species
UACGUAGGGUGCAAGCGUUGUCCGGAAUUAUUGGGCGUAAAGAGCUCGUAGGCGGUUUGUUGCGUCGGCUGUGAAAUCCCGAGGCUCAACCUCGGGUCUGCAGUCGAUACGAGCAAACUAGAGUGUUGCAGGGGAGACUGGAAUUCCUGGUGUAGCGGUGAAAUGCGCAGAUAUCAGGAGGGAACACCGGUGGCGAAGGCGGGUCUCUGGGGCAACA